GAUGAACGCUAGCGGCAGGCUUAACACAUGCAAGUCGAGGGGCAGCGUGAGGGUUAGCAAUAACCCUUGACGGCGACCGGCGCAAGGGUGCGUAACGCGUGAGCAACUUGCCCUUAUCAGGGGGAUAACCGGUGGAAACGCCGACUAAUACCCCAUGGCAUCACAUAAAGGCAUCUUUUGUGAUUAAAGAAUUUCGGAUAAGGAUAGGCUCGCGUGACAUUAGCUAGACGGCGGGGUAACGGCCACCGUGGCUACGAUGUCUAGGGGUUCUGAGAGGAAGGUCCCCCACACUGGAACUGAGACACGGUCCAGACUCCUACGGGAGGCAGCAGUGAGGAAUAUUGGUCAAUGGCCGGAAGGCUGAACCAGCCAAGUAGCGUGAAGGAUGAAGGUUCUAUGGAUUGUAAACUUCUUUUAUACGGGAAUAAAACCUCCACGUGUGGGAGCUUGUAUGUACCGUAUGAAUAAGCAUCGGCUAACUCCGUG
rnacentral:rRNA from 1 species